rnacentral:lncRNA from 1 species
AUGCAUAUAUCACCAUGCCAUAGGUGCACAUACAACCAUGAUUCAUAUCAUCCAUGCUAUCAAGCAUACAUCACCAUGAGAUCCAUUCAUGCCUUCAUGAUCGCAUUUUCAAUAUCAAAUAGCAUCAAUUUAUUUUCAUAAGCCGAUCAUGCAUCAUGCCAUAUGCAUACACCCAUGCACAUGAUUCAUUUUCAAUUCUUAUCGUUCACAAGGAUCUCAUCAGUUUUUCUUUCCAGGGACCAAUGUUUGCAUCCCACAAUUCAUUGCUCGCAUCCAACCAG